CCUACGGGUGGCAGCAGUGGGGGAUAUUGCACAAUGGGGGAAACCCUGAUGCAGCGACGCCGCGUGGGUGAAGAAGCGCCUCGGCGCGUAAAGCCCUGUCAGCAGGGAAGAAAAUGACGGUACCUGAAGAAGAAGCCCCUGCUAACUACGUGCCAGCAGCCGCGGUAAUACGUAGGGGGCAAGCGUUAUCCGGUUGUACUGGGUGUAAAGGGGGCGCAGGCGGCGAUGCAAGCCAGGAGUGAAAGCCCGGGGUCCAACCCCGGGACUGCUCUUGGAACUGCGUGGCUAGAGUGCAGGAGGGGCAGGCGGAAUUCCUGGUGUAGCGGUGAAAUGCGUAGAUAUAAGGAGGAACACCAGUGGCGAAGGCGGCCUGCUGGACUGCAACUGACGUUGAGGCCCGAAAGCGUGGGGAGCAAACAGGAUUAGAUACCCCAGUAGUC
rnacentral:rRNA from 1 species